AGGCUAUGGUUUCCUUUUGUUCCCCGCCUCUCCCGACCAGAUCAUCAUCAUGCGUCCCCUACGGUCGCUCUGGAUUCCAUCCAUGCUGAAAUUGAUUUAAAAGGAAGGGUUCUGUUCUCGGCGGAAUUGAUCAAGAAAGGUAUCGAUUGGCUGAUGUGUACAUGUGUGUACUAGCUUCUGGAUGUCAACUUGCUUCGUCGUCGCCGUUAAAUUAAUCAGACACCUACUUUUAGGCUGCUAAUGAUGUUAUCCAAUGAAGGCUGAUAUAGAGAAGUAACUAUACCAUCCAAUCUUUGAAACAGAUUGGACGUCCAUCAUAGUUGACAAGGCUGCCGAGCUAAGAACUGUGGCAGACUGGUGGUGGAGCCGUUUACUUGCUCGACACUGUUUGAUUUUGUUGUUUCGUCCACUU